GGCCUCCUGGUGUAAUGGUUAGGUAGCAUGGCCGCUCUUGUAGUGGCAGAUCCGGGUUCGAACCCCGGGGAGAUCA